AUGUGGUUUAAUUCGAUGAUACGCGAGGAACCUUACCUGGGCGUCGAACGUAAGAUGACUGUAGGUGAAAGCUUACAUCUCUUCGGAGCAUUUUACGAGGUGCUGCAUGGUUGUCGUCAGCUCGUGCCGUGAGGUGUCGGGUUAAGUCCCAUAACGAGCGCAACCCCUACCUUUAGUUGCCAUCAGGUUAAGCUGGGGACUCUAAAGGAACUGCCUACGCAAGUAGUGAGGAAGCGGGGAUGACGUCAAAUCAGCACGGCCCUUACGUCCAGGGCUACACACGUGCUACAAUGGCCGAUACAGAGGGCAGCUACCUGGUGACAGGAUGCAAAUCUCCAAAGUCGGUCUCAGUUCGGAUCGGAGUCUGCAACCCGACUCCGUGAAGUUGGAUUCGCUAGUAAUCGCGCAUCAGCCAUGGCGCGGUGAAUACGUUCCCGGGCCUU
rnacentral:rRNA from 1 species